rnacentral:rRNA from 1 species
UGUGUAGGCGGUUGUUUAAGUUUGGUGUGAAAUCUCCCGGCUUAACUGGGAGGGUGCGCCGAAUACUGAAUGACUAGAGUGCGGGAGAGGAAAGUGGAAUUCCUGGUGUAGCGGUGAAAUGCGUAGAUAUCAGGAGGAACACCGGUGGUGUAGACGGCUUUCUGGACCGUAACUGACGCUGAAACACGAAAGCGUGGGUAGCAAACAGGGUUAGAUACCCUGGUAGUCCACGCCCUAAACGAUGCAUAUUUGGUGUGGGCAGUUCAUUCUGUCCGUGCCGGAGCUAACGCGUUAAAUAUGCCGCCUGGGGAUACAGUCGCAAGGCUGAA